rnacentral:rRNA from 1 species
AUCCGGGUUGCGGACAGUGUCUGGUGGGUAGUUUGACUGGGGCGGUCUCCUCCUAAAGAGUAACGGAGGAGCACGAAGGUUGGCUAAUCCUGGUCGGACAUCAGGAGGUUAGUGCAAUGGCAUAAGCCAGCUUGACUGCGAGCGUGACGGCGCGAGCAGGUGCGAAAGCAGGUCAUAGUGAUCCGGUGGUUCUGAAUGGAAGGGCCAUCGCUCAACGGAUAAAAGGUACUCCGGGGAUAACAGGCUGAUAGCGCCCAAGAGUUCAUAUCGACGGCGGUGUUUGGCACCUCGAUGUCGGCUCAUCACAUCCUGGGGCUGAAGUAGGUCCCAAGGGUAUGGCUGUUCGCCAUUUAAAGUGGUACGCGAGCUGGGUUUAGAACGUCGUGAGACAGUUCGGUCCCUAUCUGCCGUGGGCGCUGGAGAACUGAGGGGGGCUGCUCCUAGUACGAGAGGACCGGAGUGGACGCAUCACUGGUGUUCGGGUUGUCAUGCCAAUGGCACUGCCCGGUAGCUAAAUGCGGAAGAGAUAAGUGCUGAAAGCAUCUAAGCACGAAACUUGCCCCGAGAUGAGUUCUCCCUGACUCCUUGAGAGUCCUGAAGGAACGUUGAAGACGACGACGUUGAUAGGCCGGGUGUGUAAGCGCAGCGAUGCGUUGAGCUAACCGGUACUAAUGAACCGUGAGGCUUAACCUUACAACGCCGAAGCUGUU